rnacentral:rRNA from 1 species
UACAGAGGGGGCAAGCGUUGUUCGGAUUUACUGGGCGUAAAGGGCGCGUAGGCGGCCAGCACAAGUCAGUUGUGAAAUCUCCGGGCUUAACUCGGAAAGGUCAACUGAUACUGUGCGGCUAGAGUGCAGAAGGGGCAACUGGAAUUCUCGGUGUAGCGGUGAAAUGCGUAGAUAUCGAGAGGAACACCUGCGGCGAAGGCGGGUUGCUGGGCUGACACUGACGCUGAUGCGCGAAAGCCAGGGGAGCGAACGGG